rnacentral:lncRNA from 1 species
CUUAUUUAAUUUUAUUUAAUUUUUAUUUUUGGGAUGAAGGUUGACCACUGUCCCAUGGUCAACCUGACUUUUUCUUGGAUUUUUAUUUCACAAUUUACCAUUUAUUCUUGAUUUAUUUUUAACCUAGUUUGGUUGGUUGGCUUCUAGUUUGACCUCUGUUUUAUUUUAAUUAAUCCAUACACUAAUUUCUAUUAUUUUUGAAACCUUUUUGGGAGAUG